rnacentral:tRNA from 1 species
CGCCGGCUCGGCCCGGAUCGGCAGGUUCGGGUUGCUGCCGGCGGCCCGGACCGGGUUCAGCCCCGAGUUGACGU